UUCUCUGCUGGUUGAUCGAUGGCGACGGCGAAGAAAGCGACCACUUCUGGCAGACAGCGCCUUUGGAGUUUAAUUAGGUAAGAAACGCCAGGUAUUCGCCUCUAAUAACGCGCGUUCGCAACGUGGGCUUGUGCACGUAGCCUCGAUUCGCCAUGUAAUUCGCGAGAGCUGGAGAAAUUUUCCAGGUGAGUCACGGAUCCACGUAUCUUUAUCCUUCGACGAGCUUCGCUAGCACGUACGUCCUUUGGUUGAGCGACCCUAACACCUUUAUUGCUGCGUACACCGAACAGGAUAUUCCUGCUCGAAAAAGCGCGUCGAGCUGCUCGAGAAACACCGGAGGAUAUAUGGUCAUCCCAGGGACUACGGCAAAAAGAGCACGAAGAAGCUAAGAGGUUUUCCACUCGUGGCUUUGUUUGCGCCAUUUGCGAAUAAGAAGAAGAUACAAAAAUAACUUGUCGCGAUUAAUUUCAGUUUCUCACUUCGAAAUAUUUUCUGUCAAAUUGAACAGUAUCAAAAGUACAAAAUAAAAUAAUUUACUUGCAAAGGAGCGAACCAUUACGAUUGAAUUUUCGCUCGCAAAUCAUUGACACGAAACAAGCUCUAUAGAGUUUCCAUUCGCUCGCUAGAGUGAUUAGAUCGCGAUGACUAUAAUUUCGCAGUAAUGCCGUCGGUGAAAUUUUUCUCGACAUUUUCCAAAGCCGAUAGCAGAUGGCUGCGACAAAGUCGGUUGCCUCGAAUGAAAGGAAGACGAAGACUAACAAAAUAGCGAGCAAUUACUUAGGUCAACCAGCUGCCGGACCCUCUGCGGAAGAUCUUUUUAUUUCGUGGUACACUUUCUUCUUGGUUCUUCCUUCGCUCGUGAAAACUUUACUGUCCCCCGAGGCGGACGGUGGAUGAUUUUAUUC